GGUUGCAAGCCUUCUCCAAAUCCACAAAACACAAGUGGACUGGAUGGGCAAACUCCCAUGCCCCCUCCAGCACCCUAGCAGGGGUAUAGAGCUGGUCCACCAUUCCACAUCUGUGACGAAAACUGCAUUACUCCUCCUUGACUUGAGGUUCAACUACUGACUGUACCCUCUUCCCCAGUACCCUGGCAUAGACCUUACACGGGAGGUUGAGAAGUGUGAUCCCCAUA